rnacentral:lncRNA from 1 species
UUAUGGUUUGUUGGAGGUUUUUAAAGUUAAUUGACAAGAUUUGAUGCUUAUACCUUCCCUCUUUUUACGGAUUCAGUACUGAGAUUGAGAGAAGAUUCAAGCCCCAGAAGCUGUCACAGAGUUGUGUUGGAACUGAAGCACUGCCAUCUUGCUGAAGCUGAGCACUGCAGAACCUACUUCAUGCCUAACACUUUUGGGAAUUAAAAAUUGCCUGACACUCCCCAAGAGCAUUGAAUGCAGUACAGAUCUAGAGGGGAAAGGAUGCUUUUCAUAAUAUGGUAAGCAGAACUUUAUAAUCCUUACACGUUUGUAGUUCCUAAAUUGAGAUAUAACCACCUGUUGC